rnacentral:rRNA from 1 species
GUGGGGAAUAUUGGACAAUGGGCGAAAGCCUGAUCCAGCCAUGCCGCGUGUGUGAAGAAGGUCUUCGGAUUGUAAAGCACUUUAAGUUGGGAGGAAGGGCAGUAAGUUAAUACCUUGCUGUUUUGACGUUACCGACAGAAUAAGCACCGGCUAACUUCGUGCCAGCAGCCGCGGUAAUACGAAGGGUGCAAGCGUUAAUCGGAAUUACUGGGCGUAAAGCGCGCGUAGGGGGUUUUGUAAGUUGGAGGUGAAAUCCCCGGGCUCAACCUGGGAACUGCCUCCAAAACUGGAUGACUAGAGUACGGUAGAGGGUAGUGGAAUUUCCGGUGUAGCGGUGAAAUGCGUAGAUAUAGGAAGGAACACCAGUGGCGAAGGCGACUACCUGGACUGAUACUGACACUGAGGUGCGAAAGCGUGGGGAGCAAACAGGAUUAGAUACCCUAGUAGUCC